rnacentral:rRNA from 1 species
CCUACGGGUGGCAGCAGUGGGGGAUAUUGCACAAUGUGUGGAACCCUGAUGCAGCGACGCCGCGUGAGCGAUGGAGUACUUCGGUGUUUAAAGCUCUGUCAGCAGGGAAGAAAAUGACGGUACCUGACCAAUAAGCCCCGGCGAAAUACGUGCCAGCAUCCGCGGUAAUACGUAUGGGGCAAGCGUUAUCCGGCUUUACUGGGUGUAAAGGGAGCGUAGGCGGCUGGGCAAGCCUGAUGUGAAAGCCCGGGGCUCAACCCCGGGACUGCAGUGGGAACUGGCAUGCUGGAGUGCCGGAGGGGCAGGCGGAAUUCCUGGUGUAGCGGUGAAAUGCGUAGAUAUUAGGAGGAACACCAGUGGCGAAGGCGGCCUGCUGGACGGUGACUGACGCUGAGGCUCGAAAGCGUGGGGAGCAAACAGGAUUAGAUACCCUUGUAGUC